AUUUUGAUCUAGUAGUGUGACGUCAUAAGGCUGCGCCGCGCUCCCGCACCUGAGUUUCAGCUGAAAAAAGGACAAGGUGCCCAAACACACAGAAAAACUCCAGCUGAAGUGACUGAGAUCCAAGUGACACUAUUAUAAAUAUGGCUUUUAUUAAAGAGGAGAGUGAAGACGUGAAGAUUGAAGAAACAUUCAGAGUCAAACAAGAAGAUACCGAGGAACAAACAGAUCUGAUGGUGCUGAAAGAGGACAGUCAAGAACUGAAUGAUAUGGAAGAAAAAGAUCAUUAUUUCAUAAGUGGAGAAAAACAUUUUAGUUGCUCACAGACUGACAAGUCUUCCUCAAGAAAAAAGGCACAAAAUACAAGAAGUAGACACUUAUGCCAACAGUGUGGAAAGUGUUUCAGUCAAAAAGCAAGUAUUAAAACACACAUGAGAGUUCACACAGGAGAGAAGCCUUAUGCCUGCCAACAGUGUUGAAAAAAUUUCAGUCAAAAAGUAUCUCUUAAAGUACAUGUUAGAAUUCACACUGGAGAGAAGCCUUACACAUGUCCUCAAUGUGGAAAGAGUUUUACUCAACUUGGGAACUUGGGAAUCCACAUGAGUGUUCACACCAGAAAGAAGCCUUACAAAUGCCAACACUGUGGAAGACGUUUCAGUCAGAAAAGAAACCUUAAUUACCACAUGACAAUUAACACUGAAGAGAGUCUUUUCACCUGCCAACAGUGUGGAACAACUUUCACUCACAAAGGAAGCUUUAACAGACACCUUAGAAUUCACAAUGUUGUGCAGCGUUACACAUGCUCUCAGUGUGGAAAGAGUUUUGAUCAACAUCAAAACCUUAAAGUCCAUAUGAAAUCUCAUAAGGAGAAAACCUACACAUGUUCUGAGUGUGGAAAGAGUCUCAGUCAAAAAUGUACCUAUAGAGAUCACAUGAGAAUUCAUUCUGGAGAGCAACCCUACAGAUGCACUCAGUGUGGAAAGGGUUUCAAUAACAAACAUCACCUUAAAGAGCACAUUCACACUGGAGAGAAGCCCUUCACCUGCCAACAAUGUGGAAGAAGUUUUAGCCGAAAAAGGAACCAUUAACAAGCACAUGAGAACUCACACAGUAGAAAAGCCGUUUACAUGUGGUCACUGUGGAAAGGGUUUCAAAAAUAAAGCAGCACUUAUGUACCACAUGAAUUUUCACAUAUGAAAGAACUGUAAUUUAUGUCAUCAAUGUGAAAUUGUGGAAAGGUUCACAGACUGGAAACAUCUUAGGAAUCAUUGCAGAAACAAGGCAAUCUUGUUCAAAAUACCUGAUUGUUGGAUUUUGGCCUUGCUUAUAAUCACCUACACCCACCUAAAGGAUUAUUAGGAACACCAUACUAAUACUGUUUUUGACCCCCUUUCACCUUCAGAACUGCCUUAAUUCUACGUGGAAUUGAUUCAACAAGGUGCUGAAAGAAUUCUUUAGAAAUGUUGGCCCAUAUUGAUAGGAUAGCAUCUUGCAGUUGAUGGAGAUUUGUGGGAUGCACAUCCAGGGCACAAAGCUCCCGUUCCACCACAUCCCAAAGUUGCUCUAUUGGGUUGAGAUCUGG